rnacentral:rRNA from 1 species
GACGAACGCUGGCGGCGUGCUUAACACAUGCAAGUCGAACGAAGUGGCGAACGGGUGAGUAACGCGGAAUCAACCUGCCCUUCAGAGGGGGACAACAGUUGGAAACGACUGCUAAUACCGCAUACUGAAGGAGGGGCUUGCGUGUGAUUAGCUAGUUGGGGGGGUAACGGCCCACCAAGGCGAUGAUCGGUAGCCGGUCUGGGGGGGUGAACGGCCAAAAUGGGACUGGGACAAGGCCCAGGAUCCUACGGGGGGCAGCAGUGGGGAAUCUUCCGCAAUGGACGAAAGUCUGACGGAGCAACGCCGCGGGAGUGAUGACGGCCUUCGGGUUGUAAAGCUCUGUUAAUCGGGACGCGGUACCGGAAUAGAAAGCCACGGCUAACUACGUGCCAGCAGCCGCGGUAAUAC